rnacentral:rRNA from 1 species
AAAAACAUCGCCUCCUGAAAAAAUAGGAGGUCCAGCCUGCCCAGUGACCAAGUUAAACGGCCGCGGUACCCUAACCGUGCGAAGGUAGCGCAAUCACUUGUUCUUUAAAUGAGGACUAGUAUGAACGGCAUCACGAGGGUCUCACUGUCUCCCCCCUCUAAUCAGUGAAACUGAUCUCCCCGUGAAGAAGCGGGGAUAAACCUAUAAGACGAGAAGACCCCAUGGAGCUUUAAACUCAAUUUCAACUACCAUCUAUAAACCACAAAAAACAGGUAGCCAUGACUAUUAGUUUUCGGUUGGGGUGACCACGGAGCAAAAUACAACCUCCAUGAUGAAUGACUCUUUACCUCUAAUCAUAGAGUAACAACUCAAAGAAUCAAUAAAUUGACCCACUUGACCCAAAUUUUUGAUCAACGAACCAAGUUACCCUGGGGAUAACAGCGCAAUCCAUUUCAAGAGCCCCUAUCGACAAAUGGGUUUACGACCUCGAUGUUGGAUCAGGGUAUCCUAGUGGUGCAGCCGCUACUAAAGGUUCGUUUGUUCAACGAUUAAAACCCUACGUGAUCUGAG